rnacentral:rRNA from 1 species
AUACGUAGGGAGCGAGCGUUAUCCGGAUUUAUUGGGUGUAAAGGGUGCGUAGACGGGUUUGCAAGUUAGUUGUGAAAUCCCUCGGCUUAACUGAGGAACUGCAACUAAAACUGUAAAUCUUGAGUGCAGGAGAGGCAAGUGGAAUUCCUAGUGUAGCGGUGAAAUGCGUAGAUAUUAGGAGGAACACCAGUGGCGAAGGCGACUUACUGGACUGUAACUGACGUUGAGGCACGAAAGUGUGGGGAGCAAACAGGAUUAGAUACCCUGGUAGUCCACACCGUAAACGAUGGAUACUAGGUGUAGGAGAUAUUAAGUCUUCUGUGCCGUCGCAAACGCAAUAAGUAUCCCACCUGGGGAGUACGGCCGCAAGGUUGAAACUCAAAUGAAUUGACGGG